rnacentral:rRNA from 1 species
GAACGGGUGAGUACACGUGGGUGAUCUGCCCUGCACUUUGGGAUAAGCCUGGGAAACUGGGUCUAAUACCGAAUAGGACCACGCGCUUCAUGGUGUGUGGUGGAAAGCUUUUGCGGUGUGGGAUGNGNNNGCGGCCUAUCAGCUUGUUGGUGGGGUAAUGGCCUACCAAGGCGACGACGGGUAGCCGGCCUGAGAGGGUGACCGGCCACACUGGGACUGAGAUACGGCCCAGACUCCUACGGGAGGCAGCAGUGGGGAAUAUUGCACAAUGGGCGCAAGCCUGAUGCAGCGACGCCGCGUGAGGGAUGACGGCCUUCGGGUUGUAAACCUCUUUCAAUAGGGACGAAGCGCAAGUGACGGUACCUAUAGAAGAAGCACCGGCCAACUACGUGCCAGCAGCCGCGGUAAUACGUAGGGUGCGAGCGUUGUCCGGAAUUACUGGGCGUAAAGAGCUCGUAGGUGGUUUGUCGCGUUGUUCGUGAAAACUCACAGCUUAACUGUGGGCGUGCGGGCGAUACGGGCAGACUAGAGUACUGCAGGGGAGACUGGAAUUCCUGGUGUAGCGGUGGAAUGCGCAGAUAUCAGGAGGAACACCGGUGGCGAAGGCGGGUCUCUGGGCAGUAACUGACGCUGAGGAGCGAAAGCGUGGGGAGCGAACAGGAUUAGAUACCCUGGUAGUCCACGCCGUANACGGUGGGUACUAGGUGUGGGUUCCUUCCUUGGGAUCCGUGCCGUAGCUAACGCAUUAAGUACCCCGCCUGGGGAGUACGGCCGCAAGGCUAAAACUCAAAGGAAUUGACGGGGNNNCGCACAAGCGGCGGAGCAUGUGGAUUAAU